rnacentral:rRNA from 1 species
UACGUAGGGUGCGAGCGUUAAUCGGAAUUACUGGGCGUAAAGCGUGCGCAGGCGGUUUUAUAAGCCAGAUGUGAAAGCCCCGGGCUCAACCUGGGAAUGGCAUUUGGGACUGUAAGGCUGGAGUAUGGCAGAGGGGACUAGGAUUCCUGGUGUAGCAGUGAAAUGCAUAGAUAUCAGGAGGAAUACCGAUGGCGAAGGCAGGUCCCUGGGCCAAUACUGACGCUCAUGCACGAAAGCGUGGGGAGCAAACAGG